rnacentral:lncRNA from 1 species
ACGCCUCUCCCCGCCCUGCUCCUGAAAGAAUCCCCAGUCAUUUGGAGGGAAUAGCCCCAGCAGGCUGUGGGGUACAUGCUCGUACAUCUUUGCAUCCUUUUAGGGGAGGACUGAGGCCCCUUCAAUCCAGAGUUCUCUGCUCAGUGCCCUUGCCCAUGGGGAUGUUGGUCUCCUGAUUGCUUUGGAGGGGGAUCCGUGGGGUCUGGCACAGACAGAUGCUGGGGUUCCCUCAUCACUUCCAUUUCUCAGGAAGGAUCAUGUUAUCUUUAACCCCCUUUCCGCUGCUCGUGGUCCUCUGGACAGCCCUUCUCCAGCGUCACAAACAUUUGCUCUUGUUAAGGUUGGGGCCGUUUUCCCUCCCUCCUCUGGGCCUUGCCCGCCCGUGCGCCCCCAACCCCGGCUCCCCCUCGCCUGUGUUACUAGGGAUGCUGUUUUGUUUUCUUUUCUCCCUUUGUUUUGCCUCUUUAAGAAAAGAAAAGUGAGCACCUGAGAAAGAGAGCGAGAGGGAGGCCGAGGGAGAAGAGACGGCGAGCACCAAAUGAUCUGAGAAUGAUAAAGGAAGGUUACCUGUGUGUUUGUCAACAAGAUGAAAUAAAUAAGAGCAAAAAAAAAAGAGGACAGCAGUCAAAGGCAAUCAAAUAUGUAUUUAAUUAAAGCAAACAUAAAAAUAAAAGUUACAUGUUGAAUCAAUAAACAGCACUUUUUUCUACAUGCAUUUUGAACAAGACAGAUCAGAAUCUUGCAUGAUGAAGACAUAAUGUGUCAUAAUAAUCAGGAACACAGACAAAAGAACAGCUAAUCAGCAUGCAAAUGUAUGCAGUUCUGGUGAUUCAGAUGAGGCAGAUUUCUACCUCUUUUUUGCUUGAUUCAUCUUCAUUGCUAAUCAUCUGAAGGCUGCCAAAUGUUCACUGACACUAAUGUAUUAUAGGUCAAGAGAGGCAGGUCUUCACCUAUUACCCCCCCGAACAAUAUGCUUCCCUUCCCUGUUUCCUCUUCAGGAUUUUCAGCAAUCACUGCCAGAUGCAAUCAGACUCCUUGAAUAGGAGCAACUGAGGCUUGUUUGUGGCUCGGAUUCAUUAGAAUCAGGAGGCUGAAGAAAGGAAUAAAUUACUUAAUUGCACAAAAAAGUUGCAGCCAAAGUGAUGGUGAGAGAAACCGAUUGUGUAGAUACGCAUUAGGCCACUCUUGGAAUGGGGCGUCUUAGAAUAGCUGGUACUUUGGCCUCACAGAUUCAGUCAGAUUUGGGUGUCCUCCAAAACAGAUGGCUCCACAUGCCAUCUAUUCUUCUCUUUGUCAGGUUUUACCAUUUAUUUGAUCUUGGUCCCUCUCUGAUGCUGGUUGUAUUAGUUGUAACACAAAUAUGCAUUCAGAUCAUAUCCAUUUAGUCUGGCCUCUCCCAACUUUUUCUUUCUGUCUCUUUUUUUUCUUUUGAGGAGAUGAUCAAGUUGAAUAAAACCCUUGUUGUCCACCUCCUGAAUGCUCCUUCGCACGAGAUGCAGGAAACGGGAAGACCUCACCGGCCUGCCGCGCAGGGACGUGGGCCCCAGCCUGAACUGAGGAGGAGAGAGGGGUUGCUCAAAUGGGGCAAAGAAAGAAAGAAGUUGCUCUAUUUUCUAACCACUGGGAUUCCUUUCUUGCCUCAGACUAACUCUUAAUCUGUUAAAAAAAAUAAAAAUAAAAAGGCACACUGUUAACCAGGGCUGUUCACAUAGAACCAAGGGAGAAGAAACAAAACCGCUCAGAACACUCUCACGUGCUCCGCCCCCCCUUUCUCUGGCACUCCGCGCGUCUCUGGCCGGGGGGCCUCUGUCUCAGGCGUUGCACUCAGGUUUUUGGUCAUGUGCCCGACUUGUGGGUGGUCUUCAAGUCUUGAAGAAGGAACUUCAUUUUCUCUCUGAAGUCCUUGCAUGGCUAGUAGCUGUGUCUCUCUGUCUGUGUGUAUAUGUGUGUGUAUGUAGAGGGUGUGAGAGGAAGAGGUUGAUGCAAGAUGAGGCCCCAGCAGGGAAGAAAUGGGGAAAGAAAUAAUGAAGAUGGAUUUUUAUUUGGAAAAAAAAAAUUCAAAAAGAUGGGAUUUUUCUGGUACUGUUGAGAAAGUAAUUGGCUA